UGGGGAAUCUUGGACAAUGGGGGCAACCCUGAUCCAGCCAUGCCGCGUGAGUGAUGAAGGCCUUAGGGUCGUAAAGCUCUUUCGCCUGUGAAGAUAAUGACGGUAGCAGGUAAAGAAACCCCGGCUAACUCCGUGCCAGCAGCCGCGGUAAUACGGAGGGGGUUAGCGUUGUUCGGAAUUACUGGGCGUAAAGCGCACGUAGGCGGACCAGAAAGUUGGGGGUGAAAUCCCGGGGGCUCAACCCCGGAACUGCCUCCAAAACUAUUGGUCUAGAGUUCGAGAGAGGUGAGUGGAAUUCCAAGUGUAGAGGUGAAAUUCGUAGAUAUUUGGAGGAACACCAGUGGCGAAGGCGGCUCACUGGCUCGAUACUGACGCUGAGGUGCGAAAAGUGUGGGGAGCAAACAGGAUUAGAUACCCUGGUAGUCCACACCGUAAAACGAUGAAUGCCAGUCGUCGGGUAGCAUGCUAUUCGGUGACACACCUAACGGAUUAAGCAUUCCGCCUGGGGAGUACGGUCGCAAGAUUAAAACUCAAAGGAAUUG
rnacentral:rRNA from 1 species